rnacentral:rRNA from 1 species
GACGAACGCUGGCGGCAUGCCUAACACAUGCAAGUCGAACGAGACCUUCGGGUCUUUUGGCGCACGGGUGCGUAACGCGUGGGAACCUGCCCAUAGGGUCGGAAUACCUCCCCGAAAGGGGUGCUAAUACCGGAUAAUGUCUUCUGACCAAAGAUUUAUUGCGUUUGGAUGGGCCCGCGUUGGAUUAGAUAGUUGGUAGGGUAAAAGAUUAACAAGGGGACGAUGAAUAGCUUGUUUGAGAGGAUGAUCAGCCACACGGGGACUGAGACGCGGCCGAGACUCCUACGGGAGGCAGGAGUGGGGAAUAGUGCACCGUGGGCGAAAGGAUGAUGGAGCACUGCCGGGUGAGUGCUGAUGGCCUUAGGGUUGUAAAGCUCUAUUACCCGUGAUGAUAAUGACGGUACCGGGAGAAUAAGCUCCGGCUAACUACGUG